UGAGUAACACGUAUCCAACCUGCCGUCUACUCUUGGACAGCCUUCUGAAAGGAAGAUUAAUACAAGAUGGCAUCAUGAGUCCGCAUGUUCACAUGAUUAAAGGUAUUUCCGGUAGACGAUGGGGAUGCGUUCCAUUAGAUAGUAGGCGGGGUAACGGCCCACCUAGUCAACGAUGGAUAGGGGUUCUGAGAGGAAGGUCCCCCACAUUGGAACUGAGACACGGUCCAA
rnacentral:rRNA from 1 species